UAAUACGAAGGGGGCUAGCGUUGCUCGGAAUUACUGGGCGUAAAGGGCGCGUAGGCGGAUCGUUAAGUCAGGGGUGAAAUCCCGGGGCUCAACCUCGGAAUUGCCCUUGAUACUGGCGAUCUUGAGUAUGAGAGAGGUAUGUGGAACUCCGAGUGUAGAGGUGAAAUUCGUAGAUAUUCGGAAGAACACCAGUGGCGAAGGCGACAUACUGGCUCAUUACUGACGCUGAGGCGCGAAAGCGUGGGGAGCAAACAGGAUUAGAUACCCUGGUAGUCCACGCCGUAAACGAUGAUUGCUAGUUGUCGGGCUGCAUGCAGUUCGGUGACGCAGCUAACGCAUUAAGCAAUCCGCCUGGGGAGUACGGUCGCAAGAUUAAAACUUAAAUGAAUUGACGG
rnacentral:rRNA from 1 species